rnacentral:rRNA from 2 species
ACCCUUUAAGGGUCCUGAAGGAACGUUGAAGACGACGACGUUGAUAGGCCGGGUGUGUAAGCGCAGCGAUGCGUUGAGCUAACCGGUACUAAUGAACCGUGAGGCUUAACCUU